rnacentral:lncRNA from 14 species
CGGGAGCCAUGAGCUGCACGCAGAGCCGCUGGAGCAGCCCCCCGGUGCUGCUAGGCUCCUGCUAGGAACCAGCUGCUGGGACCCAGCCUCUGCAUCCCUCCCAAGGUUCCUCGCCUCACCAGCAGGUCCUUGCAAGAUUUCAGCUCUGGGCUGUGUGUCCAGGGCUGAGCGAGGUGCCCCGCUGCUGCGCUGUGGGUCCCAUGAGACAGGCAGGACCACGCUGCCCAUCCCGCCUGGGGCUGCAGCACCCCACUCUUCCUCUGCUGCACAGGGAGCCCCUCCAGCACCCGGAACGAAGCUGCAGAGCUCUGCUGCCACGUGCAUGAGUGGAAAGCAGAGGAGAGGCCAAAGCCCAGCGUGCCCCUGGCAUCCGACUGCCCAGCAUCCUGCCUUCAUCUGACCUGGGUAGGUGGCACACGAGCUCGGGCACUGUUGUAUUGCUGAGCAUGUGACACUCACAUACCUCUGUCGUGCUGAGUCUGGGACUGGAAUGGU